AGAAUUUAAAUUUCUUACACAAUAAUUUAAAAUACCCAAUAGGGAUACGGGAAUGUCCAUUCUAAAAAAAUAAACGAAAGGCAGAUAAUUAAGCAAUCCUGGGACGACCUUUACUAACUCUUGAAGGGAGUCUGAGUGGUGAACUAUUCACAAACCCUCUUAUUGAUCGAGAUCUGGAUCUUAAUCCUCUUUAUCUGAAAUAAUUAAUGAAUGUGUGAGUUACACUAGUUUAGUAAAAAUAUCACACUAAUCACAGAUACAGAAAACUGAAGAUUAGUAAAAAUUAGAAAAAUAACUAAUAGAGCCUUUAAUUUAAUAGAAAUUCAUUUACUAUAAAGAAAACUAUUUAUUCCAUAUUGUGUAACAAGUCUCUCCCAAUAAUAACUUAUGAAAACUCAUAUUCAUGCACUAUUAUUUAUCACAUAUAAGAUGACAAAAAAAGAUCAUUUUAUAUUUUUACCCACUUACCGGUAAUCCUGAAGGUCCAUAGGGAUAUCCUCCUACUCAUGAACUCAAUAUCCAAUUCAACAAUUAACCGGCCGUCCACGUACCCCGUCCGGUAUGAAGGUGAACCAUAUCUCCCAAACCUUACU
rnacentral:lncRNA from 1 species